GACGUAGGAAGCAAGCGUUGUCCGGAAUUACUGGGCGUAAAGAGCUCGUAGGCGGGAUCGUAAGUCUUAGAGUAAAUCUCACGGCUCAACCGUGGGGCCUUCUGAGAUACUGCGAUUCUUGAGGAUGUCAGAGGAAAGUGGAAUUCCCGGUGUAGCGGUGAAAUGCGUAGAUAUCAGGAGGAACACCUGUGGUGUAGACAGCUUGCUGGACCAUCACUGACGCUGAGGCACGAAAGCGUGGGUAGCAAACAGG
rnacentral:rRNA from 1 species